GGGAACUGAAACAUCUAAGUACCCGGAGGAAAAGAAAUCAAACGAGAUGCCCACAGUAGCGGCGAGCGAAGAGGGCAGAGCCCAAACCUGUAAGCUACGGCUUAUGGGGGUUGAGGACUGACGAAAUUAAGGCCAGGCUUAGCUGAACUACCUGGGAAGGUAGGCGAUAGAAGGUAAGAGCCCUGUAAGCGAAAGGCAGAGCCUUAAGGUCAGUAUCCAGAGUACCACGGAGCACGAGGAAUUCUGUGGGAAGCAGGGGGGACCACCCUCCAAGGCUAAAGACUAACUGGCGACCGAUAGCGCAUAGUACCGUGAGGGAAAGGUGAAAAGAACCCCGGGAGGGGAGUGAAAUAGUACCUGAAACCGUAUGUCUACAAGCAGUCGGAGCGAAAGCGACGGCGUGCCUAUUGAAGAAUGAACCAACGAGUUAUCUGCACUAGCGAGGUUAAGUGGAAGACACGGAGCCGUAGCGAAAGCGAGUCUGAAAAGGGCGGCGAGUUAGUGUAGGUAGACCCGAAACCGCAGUGAUCUACCCAUGUCCAGGUUGAAGCGCAGGUAAAAAUGCGUGGAGGACCGAACCGGUGAGCGUUGAAAAGCUUUCGGAUGAGAUGUGGGUAGGGGUGAAAUUCCAAUCGAACGCGGAGAUAGCUGGUUCUCCCCGAAAUAGCUUUAGGGCUAGCCUCAGGUAGUAAGUAUAGGCGGUAGAGCACUGAUCGGGCUAGGGGCCAUAAAGGUUACCGAACCCUGUCAAACUCCGAAUGGAUAUACUGCAGAGCCUGGGAGUCAGACUACGAGUGAUAAGAUCCGUGGUCAAAAGGGAAACAGCCCAGACCACCGGCUAAGGUCCCAAAUGCCGUACUAAGUGGAAAAGGAUGUGGGGAUUCAUAAACAACCAGGAUGUUGGCUCAGAAGCAGCCACCAUUUAAAGAGUGCGUAAUAGCUCACUGGUCGAGAGUCCCUGCGCCGAAAAUUUCCGGGGCUAAAGUACGGAACCGAAGCCGUGGCUGUGCAUGUAAGUGCACGGGGUAGGGGAGCGUUGCCACAGGGGUGAAGCUGGUCUGGAAGGACUGGUGGACUUGUGGGAAGUGAGAAUGUUGGUAUGAGUAGCGAAAAGAAAGGUGAGAAUCCUUUCCACCGAAAGCAUAAGGAUUCCUGAGCAACGAUCGUCGUCUCAGGGUAAGUCGGGACCUAAUCCGAGGCAAAGAGCGUAGGAGAUGGACAACAGGUUGAUAUUCCUGUACCCGCAGCAAUUGUUUGAGCGAAGGAGUGACACAGAAGGGCAGGCAGGCGCGAGACUGGAUUGUCGCGUGCAAGCGUGUAGGGUAGUGUACAGGCAAAUCCGUACACUGAGAGCCUGAGGCGUUACGCGGAGCGAGCAGAGAUGCGAGCGAAGCUGCUGAUCCCACACUGUCGAGAAAAGCUUCUAGUGAGAGAGCUGCCGCCCGUACCGUAAACCGACACAGGUAUGCGGGGAGAGAAUCCUAAGGUGCGCGGGAGAACCCUCGUUAAGGAACUCGGCAAAAUGUACCCGUAACUUCGGGAUAAGGGUAGCCGUCUUGGUGAAGGAGCUUGCCUCUGGAGCUGAAGGCGGUCGCAGAGAAGAGGCCCAAGCGACUGUUUACCACAAACACAGGUGCCUGCUAAAGCGAAAGCUGACGUAUAGGUGCUGACACCUGCCCAGUGCUGGAAGGUUAAGGAAGGAUGUCCGGGCAACCAAAGCAUUCGACCGAAGCCCCAGUGAACGGCGGCCGUAACUAUAACGGUCCUAAGGUAGCGAAAUUCCUUGUCGGGUAAGUUCCGACCCGCACGAAAGGUGUAACGAUUUGGGCACUGUCUCAACGAGGGACCCGGUGAAAUUGAAAUACCUGUGAAGAUGCAGGUUACCCGCGACUGGACAGAAAGACCCCAUGGAGCUUUACUGUAACCUGACAUUGGGUUUUGUUGUAUUACGUACAGGAUAGGUGGGAGGCUUAGAAGGCUGGACGCUAGUCUGGCUGGAGCCGGCGUUGGGAUACCACCCUUGAUACAACGGAAUUCUAACCGAGAGAGUAACGAAAUCCGGGACAGUGUCAGGCGGACAGUUUGACUGGGGCGGUCGCCUC
rnacentral:rRNA from 1 species